rnacentral:ribozyme from 1 species
UUGCGAGGGCACCAUACGAGGGUUUGACUGCAACAAGCAGCGCUAUCUCGUGGACCUGGGUGAGAAGUCCCUCUCGUUGCGUGCCAC